rnacentral:rRNA from 6 species
GGUGAAUACGUUCCCGGGCCUUGUACACACCGCCCGUCACACCAUGGGAGUGGGUUGCAAAAGAAGUAGGUAGCUUAACCUUCGGGAGGGCGCUUACCACUUUGUGAUUCAUGACUGGGGUGAAGUCGUAACAAGGUAACCGUAGGGGAACCUGCGGUUGGAUCACCUCCUUA